rnacentral:rRNA from 1 species
UGGGGAAUAUUGCACAAUGGGGGAAACCCUGAUGCAGCGACGCCGCGUGAACGAAGAAGGUAUUCGUAUCGUAAAGUUCUGUCCUAUGGGAAGAUAAUGACAGUACCAUAGAAGAAAGCUCCGGCUAAAUACGUGCCAGCAGCCGCGGUAAUACGUAUGGAGCGAGCGUUGUCCGGAAUUAUUGGGCGUAAAGGGUACGCAGGCGGUUUAAUAAGUCGAAUGUUAAAGAUCGGGGCUCAACCCCGCAAAGCAUUGGAAACUGAUAAACUUGAGUAGUGGAGAGGGAAGUGGAAUUCCUAGUGUAGUGGUGAAAUACGUAGAUAUUAGGAGGAAUACCAGUAGCGAAGGCGACUUUCUGGACACAAACUGACGCUGAGGUACGAAAGCGUGGGGAGCAAACAGG